rnacentral:rRNA from 1 species
CCUACGGGAGGCAGCAGUGGGGAAUAUUGCACAAUGGGCGCAAGCCUGAUGCAGCGACGCCGCGUGAGGGAUGACGGCCUUCGGGUUGUAAACCUCUUUCAGUAGGGAAGAAGCGAAAGUGACGGUACCUGCAGAAGAAGCGCCGGCUAACUACGUGCCAGCAGCCGCGGUAAUACGUAGGGCGCAAGCGUUAUCCGGAAUUAUUGGGCGUAAAGAGCUCGUAGGCGGUUUGUCGCGUCUGCCGUGAAAGUCCGGGGCUCAACUCCGGAUCUGCGGUGGGUACGGGCAGACUAGAGUGAUGUAGGGGAGACUGGAAUUCCUGGUGUAGCGGUGAAAUGCGCAGAUAUCAGGAGGAACACCGAUGGCGAAGGCAGGUCUCUGGGCAUUAACUGACGCUGAGGAGCGAAAGCAUGGGGAGCGAACAGGAUUAGAUACCCUGGUAGUCCAUGCCGUAAACGUUGGGCACUAGGUGUGGGGGACAUUCCACGUUUUCCGCGCCGUAGCUAACGCAUUAAGUGCCCCGCCUGGGGAGUCGGCCGCAAGGCUAAAACUUAAGAGUAGUGCGNGNGAGNGCGACGACGACGACGACGGAGGAGAG